AGUGAACGCUGGCGGUAGGCCUAACACAUGCAAGUCGAACGGCAGCACAGUAAGAGCUUGCUCUUACGGGUGGCGAGUGGCGGACGGGUGAGGAAUACAUCGGAAUCUACUUUUUCGUGGGGGAUAACGUAGGGAAACUUACGCUAAUACCGCAUACGACCUACGUGUGAAAGCAGGGGAUCUUCGGACCUUGCGCGAUUGAAUGAGCCGAUGUCGGAUUAGCUAGUUGGCGGGGUAAAGGCCCACCAAGGCGACGAUCCGUAGCUGGUCUGAGAGGAUGAUCAGCCACACUGGAACUGAGACACGGUCCAGACUCCUACGGGAGGCAGCAGUGGGGAAUAUUGGACAAUGGGCGCAAGCCUGAUCCAGCCAUACCGCGUGGGUGAAGAAGGCCUUCGGGUUGUAAAGCCCUUUUGUUGGGAAAGAAAAGCAGCAGGUUAAUACCCCGCUGUUCUGACGGUACCCAAAGAAUAAGCACCGGCUAACUUCGU
rnacentral:rRNA from 1 species